rnacentral:lncRNA from 1 species
UUAUGUACAAACCUAUAUAUGCAUGCAAGGAACAAACAAUUGGAAGGAUAUGAGACUGACAGAGAAUUUCCAGGAAGAUUUGUUCCAGAUUUUGAUUAGUUCAGAUAUUGUUGUGUUGUCAGUAUGAAUUAUGUUAUGUAUUUUUAUUUUUUAAUAUACACAACAAUUUUGUAUGGUUCAUUAAGGAUGAUUACUGAAUCUUAUAUAGAUG